AAUUCGAAGAAGAAAGAGAAAUCAAAGAAGUAUGGCAGAGUUCUUGAACCAGAUGAGCCUUUCAAGCUGUUCCUAAGAGAUCGGGAGACGACGGAAUUCCUGACAGCAAAAGAGGAGAGACAUUUGUUCAGUAAAAUACAGGCAAAGCCUUACUUUUACCCUGUCAUCUUUAUUUUCAGAACUGCUCAGGUGAACAUUAAUUAAUUCAGCAUCUCUGAUUCAAAGAUGUGAUGAUCCCAUCAGAUUCUUAUGAAAAUAGAGGAGGCUCACCGGAAACUAGAAGUUCAAUGCGGCCGUGAGCCGACAUUGGCAGAGUGGGCUGAGGCUGUAGGGAUGAGCAGCAAGGAGCUGCAGUCCUCUAUUCGCACCG
rnacentral:lncRNA from 1 species